rnacentral:rRNA from 1 species
ACUCCUACGGGAGGCAGCAGUAGGGAAUUUUCCGCAAUGGACGAAAGUCUGACGGAGCAAUGCCGCGUGAGUGAUGAAGGUUUUCGAAAUUGUAAAAGCUCUGUUGUAAGGGAAAGAAUAGCAAGAUAGGGAAAAUGAUUCUUGUCUGACGGUACCUUACCAGAAAGCCACGGCUAACUACGUGCCAGCAGCCGCGGUAAUACGUAGGUGGCAAGCGUUAUCCGGAAUUAUUGGGGCGUAAAGCGCAUGUAGGCGGCUUUUUAAGUCUGAUGUGAAAGCCCAGUGGCUCAACCACUGAAUUGCAUUGGAUACUGGAAAGCUAGAAUCUUGGAGAGGUAAGUGGAAUUUCAUGUGUAGCGGUGGAAUGCGUAGAUAUAUGAAGGAACACCAAUGGCGAAGGCAGCUUACUGGACAAGUAUUGACGCUGAGAUGCGAAAGUGUGGUAGCAAACAGGAUUAGAUACCCUGGUAGGCUCUG